GUUUCAGGGCCAUUGAUGGCUCCUGACAGAACCAUUUUUAUGGAAUAAGAGUACAGUGAUCCUAUAUUACAAGUAAAUUGAGUCAGGGGUAGAAAUGGCUGGUAUGGAGCAUUUUUUUUUUUUUUUUUUUUUUUUUUUGGAGACCGAGUUUCACUCUUGUGGCCCAGGCUGGAGUGCAAUGGCGUGAUCUUGGCUCACCACAACCUCUGCCUUCUUCUGCCUCAGCCUCCCGAGUAGCUAGGAUUACAGGCAUGCACCACCACGCCCGGGUAAUUUUUUGUAUUUUUAGUAGAGAUGGGGUUUCUCCAUGUUGGUCCAGCUGGUCUCGAACUCCGGACCUCAGGUGAUCUGCCCGCCUCAGCCUGCCAAAGUGCUGGAAUUACAGGUGUGAGCCACCACGCCCCACCUGGAGCAUCUUUUAAAGAAGUUUAGCUAUGACAGGAAGGAAAGAGAGUGGCUAUAGCCAGAGGGGCAUGUGGAAUGAAGGUGGGGACUUUUUUCAUUUCUUUUUUUAAAUGGUAGAGAGAUUUGGGCAUUUUUAACAAUAGUAAUGAAGAUAGAAAAAGAAUAUAACCUGGGAAUAUUAUGACCAGCAGAAACACAGAUGUAAGAAAUUAAUGCUUUGGGUGGGGAGGGAUACGGUUAUCUGUGAGUUAAGAAAGGAGAAUUUCAUCAAAAGGAAGAAAGACAACCCUGGUUUCUGAUGAUCAUAUGUAAAAUGGCACAGUGGAAACAACACUUUAGACUAGGAGUCUCCAGCCUCCAGUCCCAGUCUGUGGCCUGUUAGGAACCAGGCCACGCAGCAGGAGAUGAGCAGCAGGUGAGCACAGGAAGCUCUGUUUGUAUUUACAGCUGCUUUAAAUUGCCACAUUACCGCCUGAGCUCCUCCUCCUUUCAGUUCAGUAGCAGCAUUAGAUUCUAAUAGGAGUGUGAACCCUAUUGUGAGCUGCGCAUGCGAGGGGUCUAGGUUGCGUGCUCCUUAUGAGACGCGCUCCUUAUGAGACGCACUCCUUAUGAGAAUCUAACGCCUGAGGAUCUAUCAUUGUUUCCCAUUACCUCCAGAUGGGACUGUCUAGUUGCAGGAAAGCAAGGUGCCAGGGCUCCCACUGAUUCUACAUUAUGGGUGUGAAAGAAGAGGCAUCAUUCCUUCAAUCUAAAAGGAUUACAUCAAUUCAGGGUGGAUCCGUUUCGUCCAAACAUAUGGCUGCUAGGCGUAGAUGUGAUGUAUGUUGAAGAGGCAACCACACUUUCCAUGUCAAAGAGAAAACUACUCUGGUCAAACAGAAGAACGUGUGCAAAGAGUCUUAGGCGGGGAGGUCUCGCUAUGUUGCCCAGGUUGGUCUCCAACUCCUGGACUCAAGCAAUUCCCCUGCCUAGGCCUCCCAAAAUGCUGGGAUUACAGGCGUAAGCCACCGUGCCUGGCAUCCCCUUAAAUAUUUAAAUACAGCAGUGUCUCUCACUCUCAGAACCAAGGACUGUUGGAAUAUCCAGAGACAUCGUUUCAGAGACACAGGGUCUUUCUUUGCUGCCCAGGCUGAUCUUGAACUCCUAGCUUCAAACAAUCCUCCCACCUCAGCCUCCCAAAAUGCUGAGAUUACAGGUUUGCAGCUUGACUCCUGAAGCCGGCGAGACCACGAGCCCACCGGGAGGAAUGAACAACUCCAGAUGCACCACCUUAAGAGCUGUAACACUCACCGCGAAGGUCUGCAGCUUCACUCCUGAGCCAGCGAGACCACCAACCCACCAGAAGGAACUCCGAACACAUCCGAACAUCAGAAGGAACAAACUCCAGAGGCGCCACCUUAAGAGCUGCAACACUCACCGCGAGGGUCCGCGGCUUCAUUCCUGAAGUCAGUGAGACCAAGAACCCACCAAUUCCGGACACACAAGCCUAUUGCUAUUGCUUUUGUGUCAGCCAUGAAAAGAACACAAAUAGAUGGCAGAAAGAGAGACCACGGUGGAAGAAACAACACACACUGCAGACACACCAACUCAGGAAGGACAGAGUCACUCUCACUGGCUAAAUGUGUCCAGUCCAGUUUGCUGAGCCAGUGCUUAUUGGCUGACUGCCUGUGAUAACAGAGCAUAGGAACAAUAUUGAUCACAGUGUAGUAUGAGAUUAUUAAGUAUAAUUUAUUUUAAGGAAAUAUUUCAGAGACAAAUACCAUUCUGAUGAGUCAAGCACAUAAAAUCCAUGAUAAAGAGAAUGUUUUGGAUGGUUAUGGGAGGGAGUUUCAAGGGACCCUGCCUCCUCCUGGAGGGCUGCAGUGUUGCCCUUCCAAGUUAAAACAAAAACUGCCUGGAGAAAUGCAAGGGGUCUUUGUGGGGCCCUGAAGACUUCCUGAAUCUGAAUAAAAAUGUAUCUUUAUUUGGUUAAGAAGACAAGAGUGCACAAAUCCUUGAAUCUGUCACAGAAGGAGGGUAGUCUGAGUCUGGCGUGGUCUUCGUGUACUGUGCUGAAGAACACGGAAAUUUUUGAGAUAUUAUGCACAAAAGUAGGUUUUGGGUUACCUAAGUGCACUGUUCCUGACACGUGAAAUUGUACAUGGAGGUAGCUUAGGUGUUGCCCAAAUCAUGCAGGAAGCUUGAAGAAGAUACCUUACUCUCUUAUGCAAUGCCAAGUAUCAGACACACACAUCUCCAAAUUUAAUAUAAAGUGCUGAGCUCUGAUAUCAAUAUAAAAUAUUAAACAUAUUUAUAAAGGUCGCUUGCUGUUGGAAGUAACUACUUGAGGAGAGGCUAAGGCUCAAGACACUUCAUGUGGGAGUGGCCAUGUACUUCAGCCAUUCUCCAUCCAAUCUACCAUUAAGGAAGGGCUACACGAUCUUGAAAGUGCAAGAAACAGGCCGGGCGCGGUGGCUCACGCCUGUAAUCCCAGCACUUUGGGAGGCCAAGGCGGGCGGAUCAUGAGGUCAGGAGAUCGAGAUCAUCCUGGCUGACACGGUGAAACCCCGUCUCUACUAAAAAUACAAAAAAUAGCCGGGUGUGGUGGCAGGCACCUGUAGUCCCAGCUGCUCGGGAGGCUGAGGCAGGAGAAUGGCGUGAACCCAGGAGGCGGAACUUGCAGUGAGCCGAGAUCGCACCACUGCACUCCAGCCUGGGCAACAGAGCAAGACUCCAUCUCAAAAAAAACAAAAAAAAGAAAGAAAGAAAGAAAAAAAAGAAAGUCCAAGAAAUGAAUCCCCAGAGCUGCCUUCUAACUUCAGGACACUCUAUGCUGACACUAUUGUAAUGUCACAGAGGCUAAUACAAAAGAGUGAAGAGCUUCCAUUCUCCCCUAAACACAUAGAAGCUUUGCUACAUGUGCUCCUGGAGCCGGCUUACAACUCAGUAUCCCCACUGCGGGUGGCAUAUUGACCCAGCAGAGAUCCUGAGGUGUACCCUUUCUUUGUCUCUCCUCCUAUAGGUUAUCAAGUAGAGGAAACAGUAAAUUAGAAGCAUCUGAGAUCGAUCACAUCAGCUUUUAAGAAGCUUGCAUUUUAAUUCAAUAUAAUCCAUAGGUUCAGAAAAAUGAAAAAAAGAAACUCGCAUUUUAGGCCUAUACUCAAUGCUGGCCCUUAUGCCAAGUAUCAACAGCCAUAAUAAAGGCCAAAUACUCCAUUUUGACUUCACUUUAACAGACUGUAUUUGUCAUUCUGAUUUUUUACCUUUAAUACAUCUUUAAAAAUACCCUGAAAAAUACACUGAGUCAUAGCCCAUAAAUUAGAAUGUAAUCUUAAAAACCCUGAGUCUAAUCUCUUCAUUUUAGAGAAAAGUAAACUAUAUUCGAUGGAGAUGAAAUGCUUUUCAUAGGUUUUCUGUGAUAGAUCUCACUCUGCCAAGGAUCUCAUUUAAGCUAAAAGACAUGAUAUGGUACAGUCUUGCUGUUUUUGCUAUCCAAAAAUCCAUUUACCCUUCUAUUGGGCCUCAGUUUUCUCAAGGGAACUCUUGCCUCCCUUCACCCCACUCCUCUGUAAACUAUGCACCAAAAUGGACACAUAGAUAGAUACCCUCUCAGUCU